rnacentral:rRNA from 1 species
GACGAACGCUGGCGGCGUGCCUAAUGAAUGCGAGUCGAACGAGAACCAGAGGCGUGCUUGCACAAAUCUGGGGACAGUGGCGAACGGGUGAGUAACACGUGGGUAACCUGCCCCGGAGACGGGCAUAACAGUGGGAAACUACUGCUAAUUCCCGAUGGUCUGUGAUAUCACAAGGUAUUACAGUAAAUGGAUUUCCGCUCCGGGAUGGGCCUGCGGGCCAUUAGCUUGUUGGUGGGGUAACGGCCUACCAAGGCGACGAUGGCUAGCCGGUCUGAGAGGAUGAUCGGCCACACUGGGACUGAGACAUGGUCCAGACUCCUCCGGGAGUUAGCAUCAGGGAAUCUUGCGCAAUGGGCGAAAGCCUGACGCAGCGACGCCGCGUGAGGGAUGAAGGUCUGCGGAUCGUAAACCUCUGUAAGCAGGGACGAAUGCCCCGUUUUGCGGGGAGUGACGGUACCUGCAAAGUAAGCUCCGGCUAACUACGUGCCAGCAGCCGAC